rnacentral:rRNA from 1 species
UAAGGAAUAUUGCACAAUGGGCGCAAGCCUGAUGCAGCAACGCCGCGUGCCGGAUGAAGGUCUUCGGAUCGUAAACGGCUUUUCUCAGGGACGAGCAAGGACGGUACCUGAGGAAUAAGUCUCGGCUAACUACGUGCCAGCAGCCGCGGUAACGCGUAGGAGACGAGCGUUAUCCGGAUUUACUGGGCGUAAAGCGCGGGUCGGUGGGGUCUUAAGUCAUGCGUGAAAGCUCUCGGCUUAACCGGGAGAGGUCGUGUGAAACUGGGAUUCUCAGAGGUAGGUAGAGGCAGAUGGAAUUCCGGGUGGAGUGGUGAAAUGCGUAGAGAUCCGGAGGAACACCAGUGGCGAAGGCGAUCUGCUAGGCCUGACCUGACACUCAGCCGCGACAGCAUGGGGAGCGAA